AGUGAACGCUGGCGGCAGGCCUAACACAUGCAAGUCGAACGGCAGCACAGUAAGAGCUUGCUCUUACGGGUGGCGAGUGGCGGAUGGGUGAGGAAUACAUCGCAAUCUACUUUUUCGUGGGGGAUAACGUAGGGAAACAUACGCUAAUACCGCAUACGACCUACGGGUGAAAGCAGGGGAUCUUCGGACCUUUCGCGAUUGAAUGAGCCGAUGCCGGAUUAGCUAGUUGGCGGGGUAAAGGCCCACCAAGGCGACGAUCCGUAGCUGGUCUGAGAGGAUGAUCAGCCACACUGGAACUGAGACACGGUCCAGACUCCUACGGGAGGCAGCAGUGGGGAAUAUUGGACAAUGGGCGCAAGCCUGAUCCAGCCAUACCGCGUGGGUGAAGAAGGCCUUCGGGUUGUAAAGCCCUUUUGUUGGGAAAGAAAAGCAGCAGGUUAAUACCCCGCUGUUCUGACGGUACCCAAAGAAUAAGCACCGGCUAACUACGUG
rnacentral:rRNA from 1 species